AUUGAACGCUGGCGGCAGGCUUAACACAUGCAAGUCGAGCGGGGGAAGGUAGCUUGCUACUGGACCUAGCGGCGGACGGGUGAGUAAUGCUUAGGAAUCUGCCUAUUAGUGGGGGACAACAUCUCGAAAGGGAUGCUGAUACCGCAUACGUCCUACGGGAGAAAGCAGGGGAUCUUCGGACCUUGCGCUAAUAGAUGAGCCUAAGUCGGAUUAGCUAGUUGGUGGGGUAAAGGCCUACCAAGGCGACGAUCUGUAGCGGGUCUGAGAGGAUGAUCCGCCACGCUGGGGCUGAGACACGGCCCAGACUCCUACGGGAGGCAGCAGUGGGGAAUAUUGGACAAUGGGUGGAACCCUGAUCCAGCCAUACCGCGUGUGUGAAGAAGGCCUUAUGGUUGUAAAGCACUUUAAGCUAGGAGGAGGCUACUUUAGUUAAUACCUAGAGAUAGUGGACGUUACUCGCAGAAUAAGCACCGGCUAACUCUGUGCCAGCCGCCGCGGUAA
rnacentral:rRNA from 1 species